rnacentral:rRNA from 1 species
GAUGAACGCUAGCGGGAGGCCUAACACAUGCAAGCCGAGCGGUAUUUGUCCUUCGGGACAGAGAGAGCGGCGUACGGGUGCGGAACACGUGUGCAACCUACCUUUAUCAGGGGGAUAGCCUUUCGAAAGGAAGAUUAAUACCCCAUAAUAUAAACCAAGGCAUCUUGAUUUAUUGAAAACUCCGGUGGAUAGAGAUGGGCACGCGCAAGAUUAGAUAGUUGGUAGGGUAACGGCCUACCAAGUCAAUGAUCUUUAGGGGGCCUGAGAGGGUGAUCCCCCACACUGGUACUGAGACACGGACCAGACUCCUACGGGAGGCAGCAGUGAGGAAUAUUGGACAAUGGGUGAGAGCCUGAUCCAGCCAUCCCGCGUGAAGGACGACGGCCCUAUGGGUUGUAAACUUCUUUUGUAUAGGGAUAAACCUACUCUCGUGAGAGUAGCUGAAGGUACUAUACGAAUAAGCACCGGCUAACUCCGUGCCAGCAGCCGCGGUAAUACGGAGGGUGCAAGCGUUAUCCGGAUUUAUUGGGUUUAAAGGGUCCGUAGGCGGGCUUGUAAGUCAGUGGUGAAAUCUCAUAGCUUAACUAUGAAACUGCCAUUGAUACUGCAGGUCUUGAGUAAAGUAGAAGUGGCUGGAAUAAGUAGUGUAGCGGUGAAAUGCAUAGAUAUUACUUAGAACACCAAUUGCGAAGGCAGGUCACUAUGUUUUAACUGACGCUGAUGGACGAAAGCGUGGGGAGCGAACAGGAUUAGAUACCCUGGUAGUCCACGCCGUAAACGAUGCUAACUCGUUUUUGGGCUUUAGGGUUCAGAGACUAAGCGAAAGUGAUAAGUUAGCCACCUGGGGAGUACGUUCGCAAGAAUGAAACUCAAAGGAAUUGACGGGGGCCCGCACAAGCGGUGGAUUAUGUGGUUUAAUUCGAUGAUACGCGAGGAACCUUACCAAGGCUUAAAUGGGAAUUGACAGGUUUAGAAAUAGACUUUUCUUCGGACAAUUUUCAAGGUGCUGCAUGGUUGUCGUCAGCCCGUGCCGUGAGGUGUUAGGUUAAGUCCUGCAACGAGCGCAACCCCUGUCACUAGUUGCCAUCAUUCAGUUGGGGACUCUAGUGAGACUGCCUACGCAAGUAGAGAGGAAGGUGGGGAUGACGUCAAAUCAUCACGGCCCUUACGCCUUGGGCCACACACGUAAUACAAUGGCCGGUACAGAGGGCAGCUACCUAGCGAUAGGAUGCGAAUCUCGAAAGCCGGUCUCAGUUCGGAUUGGAGUCUGCAACUCGACUCUAUGAAGCUGGAAUCGCUAGUAAUCGCAUAUCAGCCAUGAUGCGGUGAAUACGUUCCCGGGCCU